UUGAACUCAGGACCUUUUUGGAAGAGCAGUCGGUGCUCUUAACUGCUGGCCCAACUCUCCAGCCCAGAGGCAACAACAUUUUUAAACUGAAGACUUAGGGACUUUUAGUAAGAAACAAGAAAGCCAGCAUGGAUAACCAGCUCAUGUGACACUAAGGCAAAGGAAUCAGAGUAAAGGCCAAUCCUAUGCAAACAGAAAGAUUAUAGACUGCAGGCCACAUCCUAUGCCCUCCUGGUUUUGUAUGGCUUCUGGGCCAAGGACUUCUGAAAACAGUCAAAGUCCUUGAAGACAUAUGAAAAUAACAUGGAAGUCGGCCAUGGGGGUACAUAGUGACACCUCAUUGGCACAGCUACACCCAUUCACUGAGGUUCAGAGUCUGUUUUGGUGGUGGAGCCCAAAAGGUGGGUAUCACACAGAUCUUGUGGAAAAGCACUUCUAGUCUCUUUCCUUUGUAAUUGCAAGACAAACCUCUGGUCCUAUCUGGUAAGAGUAUAUCUCAUGUUGUACGAUUUCCUACGUGAAACCUAUAAAACCAGAAAACUGCCUUUGUUCUAAAGAAAACUGAAGGGCCUCUCUCUCCAUUUCAGCUCCUCUUUCCUAAUGUAGUUCCUGUCAGGGCUCUGGAAGGAAGGCCUUCUCUCCCUUCAAGGCUACAUCAAGCUAUCUCUUUCAGUAAUUGCUUUCCUACCCAAAGGACUGAUUAUGGAUCCAAGUUGAUCACAAAACUCUCCUUAACAAACUCAUUCUGAUGGGCAGACCAUCGUGCUGAGAAGAUGGGGGCAGGAAGACCAUUUCUGCUUCUUACAGUGACUUUGAACUUCUACCUGUCCUGCUUCCAUUUUUCAUCUGACGGUGCUUUCCCUGGUCUCAAGGAGAUGCCAUCUCCCCUGCAUCCUAGUCCCCGAGAGUUUACUGGUGCCUUCCCUUCUACUUGCCUCUGCCUUCAAUAAAUUUUGUAUUACCUCGAGAGCUGAUGAUUAAGACAAAAGAAAACAGGCCUCCUGAGAGAAGGGUCAGAUAGGAGGGCAGCUGUGAUCAUAGAACAGGUAACAGGUAGAAGGACUUUACCUUGUGUACAGCAGGUUGAGUGCUCCAAGAGCUUUUGUCUAACAUCAUGGAAUGAUGUUAUAAGGUGGAGACGUAAAAUUAUGCCUAUUUUUAAAUUAAGAAAACCAUGGCUCACAUAUAUAUGUGCUGAUGUCUUAGUGCCCCAGAGCCAGGAUGGAAACGGCAGUUUGAGGUGGGCUCUGAUCCAGCUUAGUUGCCAAAUUGAGUGCAGGAGACAAAAUGGGAGACUGCCACAGAAGCUCCAGGGACCUCCUGAGUUCCUUCCAAGGCCUUUCGUUACUGUUUUCUUAUAUAUUUCCCCAGAAGUUUUACAUAACAGAAGGAUUAUGAAGACUGUGCAUGGCUUAUGUAUAAAACCUUACUGCAGUAUUUACAUUAGUAUAGAUGACUGUUGUUAAAACCAGCGUCAACAUUAUAACAAGUCCUUACCAUGUUCAGAUCUCUUCGUUUUUACUACUAGGAGUCCAUGAGGACAUGUUUGAAACUUCUGAGAAAAGGGUCCAGUUUACUCUUGCAUCUCUACUUUCCAUUUCUCUACAAAACAUCAUUACCAUUCAUAUUGCAAUGAAAUAACUCUUGAAUUAGAGGAAAUGAUGAGGAUGUAAAGAGAAAAUCUUUGCCUGUUCUAAAAUGGAGUUGUUUUCCUAAAGUACCACAAGUAAAAUACUGAAAAAAAUCUGGACAAAUUAAUUCAAAAUGAUGUAACAGAGUGUCUGGUGUGUGUGUGUGUGUGUGUGUGUGUGUGUGUGUGUGUGUGUGUGUGUCUACACUUUGGGAAACUAUCAGACAACAUAUACUCAAGCUAACAGAUAUAUACCCCAUGAUUCAUUAAUUCCAAACCAAAACUGUACCCGUCCUCACAAACUCACAGCAAUACUAUUUAUUACAGCUGAGACUGGGCAGGACCUAAGAACAGGGUGGUAGAUCCUUUGUGAAUUCCAUACAGUGAUACGACAAAAGAUUUGUGGUCAUACACACAUCCCUCCCUCUGCCUGUUCUACCCAUGCAGGUCUACAUUAGGCUGGGCUCUCCAGCAACCAGCAGAGUGCUUGCCUAGUAACAAGGACUGGAAAGAGGAAAGGGUUUCUGGAGACUGUUCCGAUUCCUGAUUUGGGUGGUGGUUAUACUACAAACUCCUUUUGUGAAAAACUAUUAAACUGUGUAUUUAUGAUGUAUGUCCUUUUCUUUGUCUUAUUUUACCAAAGGUAAAAAGACAAAAGACAGCAUGUGUGACCUCAUGAGGCAUAAAAUUUGAUGAGAAAAGCAGACAAUGAGCAAAGAAAUCUCUUAAGCACAGGACUACUGAGGGUCUGGGACGCUGCUGCAGGAGCAGCCACCACGUCUCAUCUGAGCUGUGGGUAUCAGAGCUGGGCACGUUGGAAAAUACACAGAGAGGAGAAACUAAAGUUGGAGUCUGAAGACGAAAGAAAAAGUGUUUAGAACAAGCAGUUACAGUUAUGUUAGCAGAGUCAGAACCUCUGGGAACCUCGGCAGACGACACCUUACUCAGCACCUCCUUAGAAUGUCCAGUCACUACCCGAAGUUCUCCCAGGGGCAUCUGCAAACGGACUUGGGUCUUUUGUGCCCUACAGGAUGAGAUAAUGAUGUUCUCAUAGCAUGCAUGGUAACAGAUGGACAUGAGAAAUC
rnacentral:sRNA from 1 species